GUUUAUACGGCUGGAGGUCAAGAGGAGAGGUUUAUAACGGCUGGAGGUUUGGAAAAGGCUGAGCUAUGUGUUUGCCAAACAACUUUACACGUCUGUUUCACACACAGGGAGGUAUUGCAGUGUGAAUCACAAUUCAUGUUGAUUAAAACAAAUGAUAAUGACA